AUUAAAGAGUAAGGGUGCUCAGCGCCCGACCUCCAACCCUUUGUUGUUAAAACUACCUUGUUGCUUUGGCGGGACCGCUCGGUCUCGAGCCGCUGGGGAUUCGUCCCAGGCGAGCGCCCGCCAGAGUUAAACCAAACUCUUGUUAUUUAACCGGUCGUCUGAGUUAAAAUUUUGAAUAAAUCAAAACUUUCAACAACGGAUCUCUUGGUUCUCGCAUCGAUGAAGAACGCAGCGAAAUGCGAUAAGUAAUGUGAAUUGCAGAAUUCAGUGAAUCAUCGAAUCUUUGAACGCACAUUGCGCCCCUUGGUAUUCCGAGGGGCAUGCCUGUUCGAGCGUCAUUACACCACUCAAGCUAUGCUUGGUAUUGGGUGCCGUCCUUAGUUGGGCGCGCCUUAAAGACCUCGGCGAGGCCUCACCGGCUUUAGGCGUAGUAGAAUUUAUUCGAACGUCUGUCAAAGGAGAGGACUUCUGCCGACUGAAACCUUUAUUUUUCUAGGUUGACCUCGGAUCAGGUAGGGAUACC
rnacentral:rRNA from 1 species